UCUCAGGCCAGGCUGUGGUGAUCCAGAGGCUCCAAUCAUCCAAAGUUAAACAUGACUUACGGACAUACAGCCCUAGACCUGGUUCCCGCCUUAUCGCACACCUGAGUUAUGCCUCCAGGGAGUCACGAGAAGGCUUCACGUGCAGCACACUAAGGGAGAAGCUGUCCCCCAGCUACAGUAAUCUCUGCCCUGGUCUUGUUGCAUUUUCAUUUUCCUUUAUAUAUAACAUACUGCUAGGCCUAUAAACAGCAAGAUUGUGUCUUGUAUGCAGAGAAUUGCUUAUGUAAUGUGUUUUCCUGACUGAUGAAGUGCAUCAUUGCACAUAACUGCACUCAGGGUAGUACCUGAGCAUAAUUAUCACACUUUCACAGUUAUCUUUCAUUCUGAGUAGCCUGCCAUACCAGUACAUCCAGGGAUGUAGUGGAGGCUAAACACAAGUAAACACAGUUUAUCCACCUCUGAAAUUUCAGAAAUAGAGUUUAUCCACCUCUUAUUAGAGUUUAUUCACCAAUCACAAUUUUUAACAUUCAAAAAUC